CGAAAGACGGGGGCUCAACUCUGGUGACGUCACCACGCACACCGUGGGCACGCCGUUACCCUAUACGAAUGAUGCCAACCAACUAGACAGAAGAGGAGGGCGGGAGAGGGGCGUGGCUAACCAUUUGUCGUCGCUCUGCCCAAUCAGAGGUGGAGCAGACUGUAGUGCCUUGUUACUAUAAGACAGGCGGAGCAGACUAUGGUGUCCUGAUGAUAAUAUGAUACAGGUGGAGCAGGCUGUAGUGCAUCGUUACUAAAAAAUAAAAUAAAAAAUGGAGUAGA